rfam:Jatropha curcas cultivar GZQX0401 scaffold208_67, whole genome shotgun sequence.
GACUCUUGACAAUAGAUAUCUCGCCUCUCGCAUUGAUGAAGAACGCAGCGAAAUGCGAUACUUGGUGUGUGAUAAGGAUCCGGGAUCGGGAAUCAAAGGAAUGAGAUGUAAGUUCGCCUCUAUGGCACCCCACAUUUAUAAUGAAACGGAAACACCAAUAAUCGAGAUUAA